rnacentral:rRNA from 1 species
AAUGAACGCUGGCGGCGCGCCUAAUACAUGCAAGUCGAGCGAGAAGACGUAGCAAUACGUUUGUAAAGCGGCGAACGGGUGAGGAAUACAUGGGUAACCUACCCUAGAGUGGGGAAUAACUAGCCGAAAGGUUAGCUAAUACCGCGUACGCUCCUUGGACUUCGGUUCAGGGAGGAAAGCGAUACCGUGGGUAUCGCGCUCUUGGAUGGGCUCAUGUCCUAUCAGCUUGUUGGUGAGGUAACGGCUCACCAAGGCUUCGACGGGUAGCUGGUCUGAGAGGACGACCAGCCACACUGGGACUGAGACACGGCCCAGACUCCUACGGGAGGCAGCAGUGGGGAAUAUUGGACAAUGGGCGCAAGCCUGAUCCAGCGAUGCCGCGUGUGUGAAGAAGGCCUGCGGGUUGUAAAGCACUUUUAGUGGGGAUG